GCAGUUGAGGCUCCUGAGCCGCCGUUAAAAAACGUGGAUUCCUGGUUUUUAAACCCCCCCCUCCGCUUCGCACACGCUCUUUUGGGUUGUGUGAGGUUUUCUUUUUAAAAAAACCAACGACUCCGCCCCCUUUUAGCGCUUUCUGUCCCUCACGCGCGGACUUUCGAGGCGAGGCGCACGUGCGCAACUAAGGCGCGCGAGGCUUGCGCGCUGCCGUUAAUAAGCGCUGUGGGCCGGGGGGGAGGGGCAGUACGGCGACGCUUGGCCCGCGCGCGGACUUUGAGGCAAGGCGCAUGCGCCUCUGGGAAAGGCGGGAGUUUGUAGCCGUUAAAUGAAUAUAUAAAUACAGUACUGUAUAAAUUAUAGACGUGAAAUUUUGUCGCCGCAACUUGUCAAUCACGAGUUACAGACUCCCCCCCUUACUUAAAAACAACAACGUUGCAGUUGUUGCAAAGGGCGGCGUGUGCGGAAUGCAAUAAUGAUGCAGAAUACAUAGAUAAAUACGUAUUUUGUGUGGUUUUUAUCUUGUAUUUUUAUGUUGUGUGAACUGCCUGAGAUCUACCGAGGGCCGUACACAAAUAUAAAUAAAUAAUAUGGAUAAACUGGUAAUUCAAGAACAACGGUGAAUAUGAUGAAGAGGACCCCUGUCUGCCAGCCUUCAUUAACUUCAUGUCCUUCAGGAAUCUCCACAGCCACAGUGUUCUAUUGCAAGCAAUGCACGGCCAAAACAUUACAGGAAGACUUGACGGCAGGUUCAGGAUGCCCAUACUAUGGGGAGGUUUUAAAUCUUACCAUUAACUAAAAUGAGCUGUGCGGGAUGUUUGGGGUACAUGACUAAGGCACCAACAGUACAAAGCAAAUACAAAAGCAGAAAUAUUUCCUUGGGAGUGCUCUACGCUGAAACACCACAAGAAAAGGCAACAAUAGUAAGUUAAACCUGCUGCAGCCUUUACAAGUUUCUUCUGGGGUCACAAGGUUAGUCCUAUGGUUGAAUUUCUUCCAAUAUAUCGCUUCAGUUCUGAUCACAGCACAUGCUACAACACUGAUGGCUAGGAUGAACUUCACCAAGGUGCACUUUUCAUUAGCGUCUUGUAUUUCAGACAAAUCAUUCAAGCCAAAGCAUAAAUGCAUUUUAGACUUAUGUGAAAAAAGGAUUUCUUGGACUUAAACUGCAACACUUACAAAAAUACUUUCCCUUAAACUUGGGAUUGCUUCAAAACAUUGCUUUAUAAAUAUAGAAGUACUAUGCAAAGGACUAAAAGUGAAAUCAUAAGUAUGUAUACCCCCAAUCUGAGCUAUUUUAAAAAUUGGUUUAUUAAGCAAGCAUUUGGGAUAGAUACUGAACUUACAGAAAUCAACAUACCCUUUAAGAAUUUACAAUCCCCAUGACAGCUUCUUGGCUGAUGUAUUUCUGACAAAUUAUAAAUAUACCAUAGUGUAGCACGUAGUAUAUAUAGCACAUUAUGCUCAGUAGCAGAAGCAAUAAGGUCUGCAUGGCCCCAAAGUCCAAGGUUCAAUCCCUGGCACCUCCGGCUUAAAAGUCUAUCGCAGAGCAGGGCUGGGAAAAACCUCCCCAUUAAUGAUAUCUGAGAGCCACUGCAAGUACUUUGGUAGAUGUGCCAAUGAUCUGACUCUAAGGCGGCUUCAUAAUUAAGUAUUUUAAAGCAGUAACAAAAUUGCUUGCCUUCAAUUACCAAAGUCCUCCUGCAGCUCUCAUAUCUUACCUAUGUGAUAAUACAGUUACCAAUUAAAACACACAUUACGAGGCUUCCCAUGUAUGGCACACACGUAUGGCUUGGGGGGGGGGGAAUAGGCCUCAGAAAGCAAAAGUUCAAUCAAUCACAGCCAGGAAACAUAAUUUUCUUGGAUUAUACCACUGUGAAUUGCAGGGUCUUACUAGCCAAAGACUGGAAUGUUUGGCAGCUUGCAUAUGUUGCAGCUUACAGGAGCUGAACGGAGAAUGUGCACAAACUGACGGAAUGAAUAGUGUAUAUAUUGCCUGAUCAAUAUGCAUAGUCUCCAAGCUGAAUAUGAAGCUAUCCAAAGGAUUUCAUAUAGUGACCGGUGAAUAUGCACAUUCUGCACUCAACUCACAUCAAACCCCAAAUACGCAUUUCUUAUACCAAAGAUCCCUGAACAAACUUUAGUAUAACUGCAUACCUAUAUUGGUAACAUGAGCUCAUGUUCUCCAUCACUUUAGUAGGAAUUCCUGGGACAGUCAUGCAGAAAUAGACAGGUAAUAAAAACCCAUUGGUAUAAGCAUUUAUCUUAAAAAUAUUUCCUGUUGAAAAUCCUGCUUUUAUGCUCAAGGUGGAAUUUCACUCCUUAAAACAUUUGAUGUCUGCAAUUAGUGCUUUCAAGUCAAUCUGUUUUAAAAGCAGACAGAGGUAAUGCCUCAAAGCACCAGAUAUUAGUAAAUUGUGCCCAUGGCUUCUUUUGUAGAGUUGUAAAUCCAAGGUAAUGUUCAUACUACUAAAGUUAAAUCUCCAAAGCAUAACUGCAAGGAGUAAAUGAAAAGCUGGCAAAGCUCUUAAUAAAACGGUGGUGUUAUUUCAGUAGAGCUUUUCUAACAGUCAAAACUCACCAAGUUAAUUCUGUAAUGAUCGUACAGGCAGAGCCUAGGGCUAUAAACUGAAUGAGGUGCAGGCAUUUGGCUAAGAUAUGAUUUGUAAAACGACCAAGAAAAGUUUCCACCCGAGUACAAACAGCGAAGGGUAGAAUCCUAACAAAACUGACAUCUUUGCAGUUUUCCCAACUAUGUCCCCUACUCGUGGUUUACAAAGAAGUAGUACUAUGGACCAUAAGAGUUAAUAGAAAAUGCCCUUUGAAGACAAACUUUUGUUUACUAAAAGUUAGUCUGCUUAAACAAAUUCCUAAAUUAUACAUUAAGAAAAUGUUUGGAUUCUGGGUCCUAUAAGCACCCUUUUAUACUGGGCCCUGAAUUCAGUUAAAGUGCCUGUAGCUACAAUCCUAAAGUCAUUUACUCAGAAGUAAACCUCAUAGAGUUCAAUGGGACUUACUCCCAGGUAAGUGUGCAUAGGAUUGCAGCUUAAGUCUCAAUGAGACAAGUAAACAUGCUUAGGAUUAUGCAGCAUGCCCCAUUGGAACCAAUCAAAACUAGUUUAGGUGUGACUAGCCAGUGUCCCAAUACUUUCAAUGGGAUUUGGUUAUCACUAACUUGAGGUGGAUAGGGGCCUGGAACCAUCCUAUGUAUCAUUACUUGGGAGUUGUUCUGUCAAUCUCAGUAAAUAUAUAAAAUGAUAGGGCUGCCAAGAGUCUAGGUUAAUGCUUUCUAAAUUAUACUGCAGAUAAAAUUAGUGCUAUCACCACCAGCGAGUGUCCUUUAAUACAACAGACGUCAGAUUCCCAUCUAAAUGCUUUAUCAAAGAGCAAAUAAAAUUAUUUGAAAGGUUAAUGUAAAGAUACAAGAUUAAAAUUUAUUUUUGAUUAAUUACAAGUGCGUCUUUGUUCGCAUUAGUAAGCGUUCUUUAUACAGUCUAUUCUUCACUGCUGCCAAAACACAACAGAGCAGAGAAAAAACAGCUAAAACAAAACUAUUUUUUCCUAAGUUAUUUGCUGGAUAGAAUUUAAUUCAACACAACUCGGAGGUAACUUUUUCAAUUGUAGGCAUGUGGCACUUAGACAAUCAUCUUUGCACAGAAAGCCUGUAACAGUCAUGCGAGGGCACAGUAAUUAUCUUAAACAAGGCAAAUUUCUCACCACAGAGCAGUGGGGAAAGUAAAGGAGGCACUGCACUGGAACAUUACACCUAGUAAACUCCACAUGAUACAGUUUCAGAAACAAAUACUUAAAGAGCUAUCAUUAGAAAAGGUAAAGUGUUCAAUGAAACAUGAUUUAGUGAUAGCUUCGUUUGGUGGCCCUAAAUCAGCAUUAUCAAUAAACAAUUUAACUGAGCAGUAGAUCAAAUCAGAGCCUAUCACCACAGGGAAGAUUACAGCAAGGUAAAUUCUAAAUUUCUUAUUCAAAGAUGCAGUGUUCCUUUGUCAGAGCCCUCCAUGUAAAUUCAAAAAUUGUAAAGAUACCUGAAGUGUUUCAUUGGUAUUUAAUAUGUAGACUGAGUUCACAUAUUCAUAUGAAUAUUUCCACUCACUAAUGAAUACCACAUGGCGCCUUUCCACAACAGAAAACUACCGAGGAUGAAAUGUGGUUAUCUAAAUUACUCUCUCACUGCUAUUGAGCUGCUACUUUCUGUCUGCAAGGCUAUCAUUCUAAGAAUACCUACUCGCCUACUGAACUCACUGGGAUUUACUUCCGAGUAAACAUGCUUAGGAUAUGAAUAUCUUUCAAAUAUGACAGUAGAUGCUUUGGGAGUACCAUUCAAAUUGAAAAUUGUUGACGUACCUAGGACUGCUGAAAGAUGACAGAAUGGCCCCCUGCCCAUCAUUAUGGUUUGGUUAACAAAGCAAGAUUUCUGGAUGCCCUAGUAAAAUGCCCUGCAAUAAAUAAUUUACAUGUGUAGAAGAAAUCAGAGCAAGUGCAUGAUUUUAAUAUUAAUGUCACCUAUGCUGUCACUCUGUCCAUCUGCACUGUGCAUGUUAGUAACCACUACUGCUUAAAGAAGUGCAAAAGAGUGGAGGAUGCCACUGAUUAAAGUGCCCUAAAUUGUAGCUUUUUCUUUAAAAAAUAAAAAUGCUACUAACAAAACAAAUCUAGAAAAUAAAACAGUUCAUGAUGUAGAAAUCUUUGUCUGCCACCUUCUAGGUUAAAAUCUGGGGAUGAAACACUGCAUCUUUCAAAACAGAAAAGGAAGCAGUAUUGUCAGCAGUAGGUGCAUAUGGAAGUACAGUACUGCAUAAAGGUCAGUAAUGGACAUUACACACAGGAAUAUCAGUGACAAUUUUGUCAGGCAUAAAUAAAGAAUCCAUUGAAAGCAUAAAAGCCAGGACUACCAGAAAUGGUUCUCCUGAAUGGCUUGAAGUGGUUAGUGGAUAAGCUGAAAUAGGCCACAAGGCAUGACCAUAGAUAAAGAACCAGGAAGAUAACAUCUAUGUGGAGUAUGUCCAGCCCUUGAACUCCUUUUUCCUGGGGAGGCAAAGAGGAAACAAGUUUUAAUAAAGAACUGUGUGUGCAUUUAUUGAUAAAGUAGAAAUGAGACACAACCAUCAAAUUACAGCCCUCAAAAAAGCAAACCAAGGCAGCUGAACCAACCUUCUUGAAAAGUAUUUCUCUCCUGUCUUCACUUAAAUAUUCUGAAAGACCUUCUGCAACGUCUUUAAGAAGGGUAAAGCAGGGGGGAAGAAGCAAAAGAAGUAUUUCCUGUUCCCUCUCUCUCUCUCUCCUUCAUACUGUGUGAGCAGAUGAACAUGUCUUGGUCUGCCCCAAGCCUAGAUUCCAUUUUGAAAAUAUUCCAUUUUGUACCUCAAAAAUAUUUUACCUGCAUUUGUUUUUGCUGCCAAGGACAUGCUUGACUGAUGGCUAGCAGGGAAUUAAUUCCCUUGCAGAAGAAGGCCCCAAGUUACCCAAGAUUACUCAAGAAUGAUAUCUCCAGUAAUUCAAGAUUUAUAAAAUAAUUACUUUAGAAAAAUGUCA